rnacentral:rRNA from 1 species
AACGCAUAUUGCGCUCGAGACUUCGGUCGAGAGCAUGCCUGUCUCAGCGUCGGCUCACCCCUCGCCCACCCUUUCCCUGUUUGAAGAGGGGCAAGGUGUUUGGACGGAUGUGGCCGUCUCGAUUGAAUUCCUUCGAUCGGGUCGGCUGAAGUGCAGGGCCCGCGGCGCGACCCGGACAAGAGGGCGCCAGCAUGGUAGGUGGCUCAACGCUGCAUGCCGCUGUCGUUUCCCUUGGCCCGAAACAGGUCGCACCCAAUCGUCCGCUCGGCCAAAAGCAGGAACCGACCGCCGUGAACUUAUUCGCAUAAAUAAUCGGCGGCCGACUCAAACCUUCGACCUGAGAUCAGACAAGACUACCCGCUGAACUUAA